AGCACCCCCAAGUAGUGUGUUCACUUUCUGCUUUUCCAGAAGGACUUGAAUAUCAUAAAAAUAUACGUAAAUAAACUCUGGAAAAUUCUUAAUUAGGAUCGUGCUAAAUAAUACUUCCUGUUAUGUAUAGGAAUGUAUGUGGUAGAUAAAGCAUAAAUAUCAGGACCAAAAAAGAGUUUUGCUCCAAAGCCUUGGAACUGAUUGUUGGAGGCAUUACUAGAAGUGAUUAGACAGAAGUCUGAAGGAAGCUGAAAGUGCAGCUGAGACUGAGCUGGUGCUGUUAUUCUGAUGCCACAAUCAUGAUCAUGUCACUUGUUAACCAGUGUGCUUCUCUGAGCUCUCAAAGCCUUCCACCCAGUGAGUCACAGGGUUAGUAAGGGCCAGAUGUAGAUGGACUUUCCUCUAAGGCCUCAUGAGAGGUAUAUCCUCUUUUUCUUCUGUGCUGGGUACCUCAAACAAAGAACAAGCACAGCUUUGAAUUUUAUUGGGAAAACCCCACAAAGGAUACUCACCACAGAAUGUGAAAACAAAGAAAAUAGCCUUGACCGUGUGUGUGUGAGCAUAAUCAUCAUCCAGAGACCAUGCUGAUAAACAGUGCGAAACAAGAGGGCAGAGUACAACCGGAGGAGAUGGCAAACACUGGUUGCAUACUGCUUGUAAUGAUGCAACAGAAGCACCCCAAGAGCAAGUUUAUUGCUGCCGUCUCUCCGGCAAGAAUAAUAAAUGAGUAUCUGCAAGAUCGUGACCCGAACAGUGAAGUCAGGCAAUUUAAGAAAUUAUCACUGGAAUUGCAGAGAUACUGUAAUAAUGAAAAAACAAAUUCCAAGCAGAGAUGUCAGAAAAGCAGCAUUCAGACAAGUUAAUUGCUAAUUAAAGCUUCUCGUGUUUGGAAUAAAAAAAAUAUUUGGGAUAUUAGUAAAAACAUCCUAAUAGUAUUUGGUUUAUUUAAAUACUGGUCAUGUAAUUACUGGUUUGGGACUUAAACAUAGUCUGUUUCUUGGCAGGUUUCUGCUGCCACACUGUUUGAGUUAGAAAAGUUCAAUGGGUAAUAUUAGCUUAGCUGUGGAACUCUGAUAUUUAAUAGGAUUUUAUGGAAAUAGCUAAUAUGUGCACAUGGCAGUGACUUCUCACAGUUAAAUAUUGUCACAAAAGUGUCUUUUGAUUCCAUUCUAAUCCUUAUUUCAUUUAACAAGU
rnacentral:lncRNA from 1 species